rnacentral:rRNA from 1 species
GACAGAGGGGGCAAGCGUUGCUCGGAAUUACUGGGCGUAAAGGGCGCGUAGGCGGGAUGGCAAGUCGGUCGUGAAAUCCCUCGGCUCAACUGAGGAUCGUCGAUCGAUACUGCCGUUCUUGAGGAUUGCAGAGGAGACUGGAAUUCCCGGUGUAGCGGUGAAAUGUGUAGAGAUCGGGAGGAACACCCGUGGCGAAGGCGGCUCUCUGGGACGGUACUGACGCUGAGACGCGAAAGCGUGGGGAGCGAACAGG